rnacentral:rRNA from 1 species
AGAGUUUGAUCAUGGCUCAGGAUAAACGCUGGCGGCGCACAUAAGACAUGCAAGUCGAACGGACUUAACUCGAAGUUUACUUUGAGAGCGGUUAGUGGCGGACUGGUGAGUAACACGUAAGCAACCUGCCUAUCAGAGGGGAAUAACAGUGAGAAAUCACUGCUAAUACCGCAUAUGCCAUAGUUAUCGCAUGAUAAUAGUGGGAAAGAAGCAAUUCGCUGAUAGAUGAGCUUGCGGCUGAUUAGCUAGUUGGUGAGGUAACGGCCCACCAAGGCGACGAUCAGUAGCCGG